rnacentral:lncRNA from 10 species
CCCUAGAGAGAGUUUGAGACACCUCUUUAUAGCUUAAAAAGAAUGAAAAUCUAUGCUCCUCAUUUAGCUUUUGCCAGCUAAGGUGGAAGUGGACUACAGAUUUUUUUCUGUGAUAUUUGGUCAGGGUGGAAGAGUUAUUAUAUAGAAGUUUUCUUUCUUGCUAGUAUGUGUCUUUCCUGAAACUUUGACUAGAGCCAGUAGGCUUUUGUUAAGGAUUUUUGUUUUUGCAUCCUUUGGCAUUUCUGGGAUUUUCCAGCUUCUGUAGCUCCACGUCGGAAAUACGUGAGGCAAAGAGAAAACAUAGAAAACCUACCACCAUGUCAUUCUUUGGUCCUCAAGUUCCUUAGCUAGUUUUCCUACUUCUUUACACUUUUCAGGUCUUCCUAGGUUUGUUUUACAUAUAAUUUUCAAGGUUUUCAGUUGGAUUUAGCAGGAAUAUAUCUACUCCAUCUUUCUGGAAGCAAAAUACCAUUAAGAGAUACUGAUUUUAGAAAUGGAAAUGACUCAUGUGAGAGAACACAAAAUGGAAUAAUUUUACUGAGACAAGAAGGAUCAAACCACAGAGAAGAUGAAGACUAAAUCAGCAUGAGCUAAGGUGGUUACAGAGGAUAAAGUUACCUGACUGUUAUAAUCAAGAUUCUGGAGCCCAGGGAGGGCAAAACCAUGUGAUUAGUAGCCCUUCCCAAAUUCCAUUAUCAGUGGGAACAGUCAAAUUCCUGGUGGCCACUUCCUUAGUACUGGCUUUUUACCCACAAGAUUUAAUACUAAGUUGAUUGAUUCAACUGUGUUUUCUUUGCCUGUUUCAUGAGCUGCUCACUUUAAUUCUGGAUGUUCGACUAGUAAAAAAGAUCCAUUUCUGUAAUUUUGAAAAUAUGGAAAUAUGUGAAGUCAAAGUCAAUCUCAAACCUUCUUUGUAGAGAUGUCCUGCAUGAAAGAUAUCCAAAAACUGAUCUUCACUGAAAAACAACACUAAAAUCAAGCAGAAGAUUGCUUUUGGCAAAACAUAUUGAGCUGGUAAAACACUAAUUAGUAUAUUUGAGUCUAGGCCUCAGGACAUUUUCUUCAAAUGUUUUCAUUUUUAUUCAUAAUUUAUAAUGUAAUUCUCUUUUAUUUUGAAAUACACACUUGUUUUGGAGGAAAACUCUGGCAAUAUACCAAGGAAGAAGUUAUAUCUAAAUGAUUUAAAUAGUGUUUGCUAAGCAUCUUUGGUAACUGUUUUUCUCCCUUAGAACUAUAAAAUCUAACAAACAUAAUUUAUGGAGAUGUUUAGUCUUGAACAGAGAUGUUAUAGUUUUGAACCGGAUUAAAUUUCAAAAGUACCUUUCUAUAUCUUGAGACUUUUUGGUAAUAUAAAUCAAAAUAAAACAUCCAUAAAACAUAA